AGCCAAUGUUACGGAUUGAUCGUCCCAGAAAUGUCAUCAUGAGUGCACAUUCUAGCAGCAUGAGUACUGAAAAGAGUGAUCCUGAAGAAAAGGAAGAGAAAUCAGAUGUAUAUAGC